GGAUUUUGGUUGUUUCUCCCCUCGUUUCAAGGCAGCUGGAGGAAAAAAACACAGGGUGAAGGGCAAGAGCUUGCUGCAAGUGUAAUUUAGCUGAGCACGGAUGGAUCAGCAGCCACUGCCAAGGCGGUUUUGUCAGGAGCAGCUGAUUUAGGUACAGAACACCCUCUAGUUCAAUAUUUGCCUGCAGAACCACCCUGUUUCCUCACUAAGCCGCUCCUGGCUCCUGCUGCUUUCGCCUCCCGAGCUGCAAACCGAGUGGCAAAGAAUUUACGCAGCGAAGCUAAUCCCAAAGCCUGGGGAAACUUCUUGUAACAGGGCAGAUCCCGCUGAUCUGUCCCGAAACGCAGCUUUACUGCCGGAGUCGCAGACGCGGAGCCGCCGCCUGGCUGAGACCCAGCUGCAUUUCGGAGCUGCUCCAUAACCCGGCCGUGGAGAUCCGUCGCAGCCUCGGGGACCGUCGGACCGAGGCUGUUCCCCAAAAGCACGCAGGAUCCUGAGGGUGAAGGGGGCUCACACCGCGCGUACGUAAGCAUCCGAACACUUCUCCUUUCCCCACAGCAUUUGGUCUGCGUGGCUCCCACACACGCAGAGCGAAGCACGUUUUCCUGGAAGUCACAUCAACUCCGCUUCCUGAUUUUGAGCACGGGAACUUAAAGUAAGCUCAUUUACACCAGGAGUUCGUGGCACGCCCAGAUGCCUCACCACAAAGCAUCCAAGCCUGGCAGUAGGUCCCCCAGUGACCCCGAUGCCCCGAGCCCCCCCAGGAGGGGAGGAACGACCACAGCCUGCUCGCUGGACGUGUAAAACAAAAGCCAAGCUCCCAGCCGAGCAGCUUUUUCCACCAGUAAUGCUGCUGAGUCAGACCCCGGCAGCAGCUCCUGCCGAAAGACCAAAAACCGCCCUGUGUUUAUCAGCGACGACCUUCAGCCCUGGCGGUGUCGGGGCCACCGCUAUCCACACGGGAAAUCUGGCCUCUGGGAGCGCAAAUGCUGCAUGUUUUCUUACGACAAGACUCGUGGGACGGAACCUGAAAUUAUCCCAACCUCACCUCCUGCUCCAGAGGGACGUUAGUGGGGGAAAUGGGGGGCUUUAGUUGGGGAAAUGGGGCCUCGGGGCUCACAGGGAGAGCGAGCCCCACCAGGGGAUGGUGCUGCUGCUUCUCCUCCUUGGGAAGUCCCAGCGCUGCCAGCGGAUCGAGCUCUGCUCUCUCAAAUCCACCGGUCCUGCUAAAACCACCCAGCAAUAACUAAUCUGUGUCCUCCUCUCUGCUGCCGGCAAAAUUGGAGCGGAGCGGAUCUCAGGCAGCUCGAUGCACCGCACUUGGUAACCGUUUCGUUAAAACAGCUUCAAUCCGUAGCCGGAUUUUGGCGGUUAAACAUCCACAGCCCACCGAUCUCACCCUCUUCGGGACUACUAACCAAAUUUUAGGACAUUUCUAAGCAAUAACUUUUGUCAAAGCACCACAACCGCACCGACUGCUGAAUAUGCAGAAGGUGAACCAUUUUCCAUAAUCAUCUCCAAGGCCGACAAGAUUUGCAGCACGCAACGCCUGAGCAUGAAAGAGAAGAACUCGAAAUGCUCUUUGCAGAUCUUGUGUUUUCAUAAGGACCUGGAGCCUCGCAGAGACCCAACUGUUACAAAUAAAUACAUUCUGAAAGGGCACUGAAGUCAGUUCCUCCUUCUUCCCCACCCUCUUAAAAACCUGAACUCCAGGUUCUGCAAUUCUGCUGCAGGAAUGUAAUUACCACGCGUAAUGGUUGCUGCAGUGUCUAAACGCCACAGGCUUUGGGGCUGCAUUGCUCUUCCUAGGAAAAAAAACAA